GGGUGGUCUUUCCGUUAGGUGGUCCCUGGGGGAAGGAAGCUCUGCAGGGUUGGAGCACCGUUGCUAAGUCCUUGAACUGCAGCAGAGCCAUAUAUUCUUGUGGUGACAGUGGCCUUAGGAAAAGAAAAUUCCGUCUCUAGGAUGGGAUUAGGUCGGAGCUAAGCAAGCCCUGUUAAAUUUUGUAACGGACUUAUGUGAUGGUCUUUGGAGGGACCUCUGGCAAAGUUUCGAAGCCUGUCAUGGGAAGGGGACAUACAGUGGCUAUUAAACUGGGUGGAGGCUGUACUCACAGCCCAUAAAUAGCGAGCUUCAGCUGCCGACCCAGCAGAUCACAUCUGUUUAGCACAAGGCUGAGGAUUUUUAGCCAGGUUUCUAUAACGACUUGAGAGAGGUCACGCUUCCCACCAUUGGUGCGAUCUCCUUGGGACGCUACCCAUCAAAUUAGUGAAGCCUCAAAUGAGUUAGGGUUCCACAGACCCAGACCCUGUCCCCAAUUUGCAGUUCACUGCUAAGCGACACAAACCUAAGGGUUUUCCACCAUAAGGACACCACCUAUUUUCCUUCUGCCCCUUUUCCCUACCAAAGCCCUCUCAUUCUGUCUUCUGAUACAAUGAAGUAUUUUUCCCAUUUUCCUUUCUGGGCAGGAAGAAAAAUAAUUACCAAAAUGACUUUUAAAUCAUUUUGAUGUCACUCAACAGUUAAGUGUACUGUUAGGUUCAAGGGAUUAAAUACAAGAAUAUUAUCCUCAGUAAUUUCCUUCCCUGGGUCAGGGGGAGAUUCCUCUUUGCUCUUCAGCAUAGGCAUUCUGGAAUAUAAGUUUUAAGUGGGUGUGGGGGCUGCACAAAGCUCUGAAGUUUGUUCAUGAGGCAAACAUUUCUGAUGGUCCUAACCUGGAACCCUGAAAUACUAGAUAGAAUCUGGGUUUAAGCUCACCAGACUUGUUGGGCAUUAUGAGGUGGGGAGGGUUACAAUGGGAAAAGGAGAUAGAUUCUUGGUAAAUCUGAGCAGGGGGUGAUAAGAAGAACUACCUUUAGUAUACGUUGUGAGAGAUUUCUAAAGCCCAUUUAAAUGAGUUAAAUCUAUAUAUGAAUAUUCACAUGAACAGUGGUAGCAAUUAGAGACUGAUCACAGUUGUUGGGAAACAGGGUGAGAUAUAUCUGACCUAAAGGGACCAACCUGGAAUUAGAAGAAAAUUACCUCUUCCUUUCUCCUAAAUCUGUACCUUGUCACUGUAAGUGGUUCUGGAAGAUAGAAUAUUGCAGAGAUAAAUAAUUAAAUAGUAGUUCAGAUGUAAGGGCUGUUAAUAAUUUGGGAUUGGAUACUCUUCAGAGGGUGUGGUGUCCAGUAAGGGGUGUCAGAGCAGCAGGAAUCACGGCUUGGAGUGGAUACUCAUUGCAGUGGGCUCUCUGUGGUCUGCUUAGAACUUCUUCCUGAUGUCAGGACAGUAGCUACAUAAUGUCAAUUAGACAUCCACAUUCUGAAAUGGGAGAGUCAUCUUGGGUAGUUUGCUUCUGUUCUUUCUUAGCUCUUCCUCCUUUUUUAAGUCACCAAAAUACCUGAUACAUUAGCAUGUGCCAUUUGUCCUCACUCUCUGGAACCCUGUCUUCUGUGCUGCUGGACUAUAGUACUGAGAACCUGGGUUGGAAUUCUUAAAUAGCCUAGAUUUUGUUCCAUUGUGAGAAAAUGAGAUCAAAAACAUUCAAAUCCAGGUUAGAGCUGGGAAGAGGGAACUCAAGUGGUAUUCAGCUAUGUGGGAAGUUGGAUUAUGAUCAGAAAAUAGGAUGGAGACACAAGGGAUAUGGCAAUGGUGUUAACAAAGCACACUUUCCAGCCUUGGGGUGCUUGUUGGGGGCCUUUGCUUUCACUCAAAACAGGACCUGGGGCUUCCCCUUUGGAACAAUGUGCUGGAAGCCAAAGUACUGGUCAUUCCUCAUGUUGGGUGGGGCUACAGACCCUUGGAAGUGUCCAUUUCUAGGUUGAUGGUAACUGGAAGAGCUUUUGGGACAACUCUGAAAAAGCCAGAGAAUGGGUUAGAAAAUGCAUGAAUAGAAGUUUCUCAUCCUUUGGAACAAGACAAGGGGGAAAGGAAAGGAAUUGCUUUUAUUUACUGGACUCGUGGGCUUUGGCUUUUUGAGUGGUUAGAGAAUUUCUUCUGAGCUAUUCCUUCCCCUUUCACAUAACCCUAGGUCUGUCUGAUCCUUGCCAUAAAGGAAAAAAAAAAUUAGAUGAGGCAAAAAAUGAUAAAAAAGGAGAGUAAGCAAAGCGAAACCCAGUUGAGAUUAUAAACAGUAAAAAUGAUGAAUAAAUUAGGCUACAGCAACAGAAGUAGGGUCAGGAGUCGAUAAAAUGAUUUAGAUAGAGAUUAUCUAAAGAUGAAUGAACAUUGAGGAAGGGAUAAAGAAAGAGAAGGUAGUGGCAGAAACUUUCAUGAAAAACAGACAAAAACAGGAAAGACAAAAUCUGCUUCCUUCUCCCUCUACCUACUUUCUUCCUACAAACUCUUGAGUAUCUUCUACAUGACAAGUACUAGCUAGGUACUGAGGGUAAAAGAUGAACAAGACUCCUUUCCUGCUCUAGAAGGCUGCAUAUAUUGUGGGGAGAUGUCAUAGCUGACUAUAUGGCAUGAAGGUGAGAAAUGGGUUUCCAAGGGCUGCCUUUUCUGUGCAUAGGUAAAAAGAAGUCUGAGACAUUUGGAGCUCCCCAGAACAGGUUCUGAGGUUACCUUUUCAAUUGCUCAGUUGACUUGUGUAGGCUAAAUAUUCAGACCCUUCUUGUAGUUUCUCUUUGGGAUGAAGCUGGUUAACAUUAUAAGUGCUGGACAGGAGUCUGAAGUGUAUCAGGAACAAGAGACUUCCUGUGUCCUCAAGUGCCAUGCCUGCUACCACAGUGGGAGGGAUAAUGUCACCUCUUCCCCUUUCCUGAAGUGCCCUCUGCACUCCUGAGGGUAGUUCAGCCACAACUCACCUCACACUCUCUCUUGGCCAUCAGGCUAUGUGGAAAAGGGAGAAAAAAGAAAUUGUGAUCAUCUUGGAAAAUGUAUAGAAGAAAGAAGAAACAUUCUUCUCCCCAAAUGACAAAGAAGAAACUGAAGAAAAAGAAGCUGGUAUCAUAUCUAAUUUAUGGGUCACUGAAGUCCAUGAAGACCCAGGCCCCCAGAACAAACACUGCUUCUGUAGAAGAGAUCCGAGUAUAAGGGUCUUUGCUGAGCCUGAGAAUGAGACAGUACAAAAAUUCCUCAGUUUUCACCCCUUGGUGGAGAGCCUCUUUAGGGAGAUGUUAAUGUAUAGGGUUUUUUAAAAAACCUCAUGCAGGGUAUAGAGAACAUAUGGGCCAUCUGAGAGUUUUAUGUAGGUUUGGGGCUGUGAAGCAGGCACUGAAGAACAUCUGUGAGUUUUGAGUCUGGGGGGAGCAAGAUUGGUAGUUUAGGAUUGAGUCUUGGAACCCUUUCCCACACUGAUCAAAGAUAUUUGCUUCUGAUGGUAACUGGGAGGGGCUUGGGUUGCCUAGUCAGAGCCUGAAAGAUAUUGGAACUAAGGCUCUUGCCUGGAUUCACACUAACCCAUGAAAACAAAGCUAGGUAAAGGCCUUUGGCUCUGCUACUUUCAUUUUAUCAGACAUUUUGAAAGAUGUCCAGUGUUUGUGGUACUGUGAUGGAGGUAUAGUGCUUGAAGUUGGGUAGGUCUUCUUACUAAAAUUACAACAACAUCACCAUAAUUUUCUCAUUUGCCAGGGGCUAUUGAAAACUUUGGUAUAAUUAUGAGAGUUCUUGGACAGCAUUUAAUUUAUGCUGAUCUAGUUCAGCUUCACCACCUCAGAAAUGGUGGCAUAAAGUCUCAAAGCUUCCCUAACUUUGCUUUUUUGAGUGGUUUCUAAAGGAAGCAUUCUGGGUCAUAAAGAAUGCAGCCUGAAACUAGCUGGAGAUUCUAACAUCUCUGGCAUAUGGCUUACAGAGUGGUUUUCACCCUGUCUUUCCCUGCUGGAAUUGUUUAUGACCAUUUUUACAAAUCUCCCAGGAUCUUAGUCCUUUAUGAGGUUUGGAGGUUUGUCUUCUAGCUCUCAUAUUUUCCCUGUGGUAGAUGAUCUGCCUUUUCCUUAGGUGUUUUUGGCUCUCCUUCCAACUCUCUGCAGUUCUUGGGAAGGGACCAAAUAAUUCACAAUGAUGGUGAAAAGAAAAGCACAAAAGGCAAGCUUGUCCUGCCAUGGAGGACAUCAGGUUUGAUUCUGUUUUUCUUUAAACAGUGUUUAAAUUCUGGACCCAAGUGCCUAUAAUACCAAUGGCAUGCCUUCUGGUAUUCCUGCUGGCAGUAAUUCUUGGAAAGUACACUCAUAAAUAGCAUGCUGGGCUUCAGCCUGAAGCGUCCCAUAGGCCUCUCACCUUGCUGAAUGGGCUUGACAUUGGGUUUCGCCUGUGUAGCCACCAAGGACUCAGAUUCCUAAACAGAAAAUGUUCUAUUUGAAGAUGUUUUGAAUAGACUACAAAGAGGCUGUGUUGUUUUCCUGGUGCUGCCUUUAUGACCAAUGUGAACUUUGGCGAAUCUCUAGAUUUCUUUGGGUUUUGGUUUCCUCAUGGGUAAAAUUGAGAUAUUACUAUCUCCUCAUGGGGUUGUUGUGAGGAUUAAACAUGCACUGUAAUCGUCAUGUUAUAUAACUUAUUUAAAAUUCACUUAAAGGCCAGUGGUAAAACAUGCCUUGGCAGUGUGACAGAUAGCCUGGCAAUUCCAUCAUCACAGGAAUUGCCAUAUAUUGCAUGGCAAAUCACUGGAGCAAAGUUUUACAUUUUUAUGUAAAUAUUUAUGUGUGGAAAGGGUUCAGAGUUUUUACCUGCUGCCUAAAGGGGGCUCUUCACCUAAAGUUUAGAGCCAAUGCUUCAGAAUUGAGAAACUUGAUUUAGAAUAAGGCAAUUACUUCCAGAAGGUUCUUCUUAGCAUGAUUGCAGUGGGAAUUUCAAUGUUUUUUCAAAAAGGGUUAUAAUUGUGCCUAACAACUGUGCAAAACAUUUAAGAUUGGGACUGAAAAUCUUGGACAUGGUCAUGAGGAGCCAUUAGAUUAUCCAGUUCCUUCAGAGCAUAAAUGGGCAUAAAGAAAAUUAACUAUACAGCCCCGAGAAAGUCAUCUUACAUCAUGGAGUCUGAUAAGGACCCCUACUGUGGCAGAAAUGAGGAAGUGUCCCUAUGAGGAGGAGGGUAGAGCUUCCAAGGAGUUUCGUGCUGGAUGAGAAUGGGAAAAACACCGGCCUAUUACUGGGAAGAAGAACCUAUGAACCAGGGCAAGAAGAGAUCUGAGGGCCAAUUCUUAAGACCAAAGACUUAAGCUAAUAUUCCACCCUGGGACUGACACACCAGAACACAAGUUGUUCCUCAGUGAGUGGACAUAUCAUCUUACCUGUACUCAGCUUCAACUCUCACAGGAGCAAACACUUUUAAGACUACCACUAAGAGGUAGUUUGGCAACUUCAGGAAAACACAGCCGUCCAAAUGCCUCAAGGCUCAAAUGGAAGACUUAGCUUCUUGGUUUGGAAGCUGCAUCAGCUGAGACUUGGCAUUUUGGAAAUAGACAUGGUCUCAUUCCUGGAGGAUUUUCAUGUAGAAGAUGAACAGACACCAACUAGAGACACAGAGAAUAAGAGCCCAGCAAUGUGAUAUUUUUAUGUCUUUUGUUGCAAGAGAGCAGAGAUGUUUCUGUGAAUCGGUAUGGGGUGGGAUAGGUGGAUUGUUAUGUGGAGGCUUUUUUGAAAUUGUGGAUAUCCUCUUAUGGAACAAGUGGUAUCAUUGUGUAUUCCCAGAACUAUGGUGUGCAAAUACUAAUAGAAGUUUUUUGAACUAUC